CCCAUCCUUCAUGUUCCUUAGCGUUAUCAGGUGUUUUUCAUACUUACAAUCCGUUUCAUCUCCGUGCACUGCCCCAACUGUCAGAGCUUUUAAUCUCAGAGGAUCCCUAAGCACGGCACAUACAAAGGGGGACCCACUUCAACCACCACUGAAGCGCAGCACCUAAUGAUGUGACACAUGACAGCAAUUGUGCACCAGAAGCCCCGCUGCACAAAGGAUAAAGUAGAGGAUUGUUUAUGUAGUACAGGGUCGCGGAGCCUAUCCAGGCAAACAACGGACACAAGGCAGGGUACAUCCUGGAUGGGACAGCAGUCAGUCG